GCAAGCCACUAUGGUUGGCCCUUUCCAGCUUUAUUGAGCUAAGCUUUCUGGCCCCCAGAUCUGCACCUGACCUUUACCACCUCCUCAUCAUCCACUCUGGUCUGCAUCCUCUUGACCGCGUCUGAGUCUCCUUUGGGGCUGGAUGUCUGCUUCAGCAUUAGGAAAUGGACACAUCUAUAGAAUCUCUCAUGGCAACACACCAAGUAUUGUAAACUUCGUCCUUUCAACAAGUUAUAUUACUAAAAAUCGACAAACUGAACUCACAUGAAUGUGUACUUACAGAGUUGUGGCUCCUGAUUCUAUUUAAGGAUCUUAACUUCACUCUCACAGAUGGACCCACCUGUGGCUACGUUUACACACUAUGAUCCUAGCUAUUUUUCCUAGUGUUGGAAUGUUGGUCUGAGAUAUGGAAAUGACAGACCAUUCAUUGAGAAGUGCAGAAAAAAAGGAGAGCUACACAAUUUACCCAAGAGGUAUUUAUAAUCAUUGGGUAACAUCAAAAUCGGCAAUUAUGUAAAUUGGAAACCUUGGUUUUUAUUCAGUGGAGCUGUAUUAAAUCUUCAUUGGUACAGGAGAAAAGUGAGAGUUUAAUUUUAUACAUUCUUUCGAAUUCAAUUUAUGAUCACAUAAAUGUGCUUUUCCAUAUUAACUUUCUCAUAAAGAGCACAAUUUUCACUUUGAGGAAAAAUAGUAUUUCAGUGAACAAAUUCAAGAGCCCUUUAUAUCUGGCUUCAGUUAUGGGAAAAUAAAUCUAGAAGUCCUGACUGUGUUGAUUAAACUCUUAUAACUUUACAAGAUUAGAGCAAGAGUCUUUGAAAAUAAAAAGUCUUGAUUGAUAAUAAUGUUGAAAAUAUUAUUGUUAAAAACAAGGUCAUCCAUAUGUAUGAUUAAAGGUGGAAAGAGUUUGAAAUUCACCUCCAAUUUCUCAGUGAAGUAUGAAAGACAGCCAGAGAGUUUGUUCAUAAUAUUUGCAAGUAGAUUUUUAAAAAUUUAGACUUGAUACGUAAUCUAAAACAAAAUAUUCUCAAUCUUAUGCUUAACCUCAUGCCAUAAAGUGAAAAUGACGCUUUGAACUACCCUGGAUAAAUUUUAGAAUCAUUUUAUUGAAUAAAUUACUGGAAUAGAAAAUGUCCUAUAUCUACUAUUGCUUGCUUUUUUACUGCACCCUGCCCCAUCCCACUG
rnacentral:lncRNA from 1 species